AGCCCAGCCAGCCGCACGACCCUGCCUCACGCCCACACCUCCUGCCCGACCCGCCUCACCGCGCGCCGCGCCGCCGCCGGCCACCCCCCGCCGUUGAGCACCGCCACCGGCUACCCUCCUCCCGUCGGGAUCCCCGAGCACCUGACCCGGCCUUCGUUCGUCGUCAGCACCUGCGGAUACGGCCGCCCCUCGCCUUCCCUGUCGGUUGCACCUCCGAGCGCUGUCGCCCCUGCCAAGCUCCGCCGCCUGGAUCCACAUCCCCACGGCCGGAACGGGUCCCCCUCGAGGAGCCGCGCAUCCUCUACCUGCUCCAACUGCACACGCGUCCUCCGCUAGGUUGACUCCCGCCGCCUACGACGAUCGAUGCCGUCAGAUCUGCUCUGCUCCAAUUUGAGCGCCCCCCCCCCCCCAAAUUUUAUGUUCCCCGAUCCAGUGGGAUUUCCAUGAGUGUCAUGCAACAAAUCGGGAAGUAGCAGGGCCCGUCUAGCUGGUGCUCCAGUGAUGAAUUUUGUUGAACUAGGUAAAGCUUUAGAUGUCAGACAUGCUGUGAACUUUACUGCACAAGCAUUCGACAGCAUGGUUCUAUUAGUGACCGAGGGAUUUGGAGGUACAAGUACUGAAGGGUUUGUAUUGCUUCCGAUGAAUGUUGGUCAUGCAUCGGAUGUCACUCAGUUUCUAGGAAAUUCAAGAUGUCAUCAAAGAAACAGACAAACAAGGAGACAAAACUUAAACAAGAGAGAUGUAUGAGGAUGUCAGUGUCUCAUCAAACACGUAUUGUGUGAGGACACCCUUCGUCCGACCUAAUCUUGACGAUCAUCCGUAGGUACACACAUACAUGUUCUUCCCUGCCGCCUCUUGGUUUAGUUCACAUGUCUUGAAUUACUUUGAUCCUUUUGGUAACAUCAAACUGGGUUGCAUAGAAGUAACUGCUAACUGGGUUUGACCUUUGUGAGGAAUCUACAACAGCACUUCAAAACUCCCAGGCUGUUUUCAUCAGCAAGCUUACAGCUGACCACAUGAUGGAACUCGAUAAUACAACACUGUACGAUGUACUUGAGAUCCAAUGAAUACCUGUUGAAGCGAUGUGGUCAUCAGCAUGUAUGCUCUCAAUCUCCUGGUAGGGUAUUUUCUCUUAAACGAUGCUACUGUCACAUGAUGCAUAUCAUGGUUUUAUUGCGUGGUAAUUUGACCAGCACAACACUUGUUGCUAUUAUCCUUUCGAGGAUGCAGAAUGACUCUUCAAUUUGGGGUGCCAACUAUGCUAGCUUUAUAUUGCUGAAUGUAGGAGCUUAUUUAUUUUUCUUGUUAGUUAUUCAAUGAUAUUGAGCAGGGCAUCUCAAUGAACUAUUCUUUCUGAUUCCUGGAGUUACAUGUGUGAUUGCUUAGACUCUUCUAAUAGUGUCAUAGUCUGGUUGGUUGCUUGGCUGAAAUAGUUUCUUACUGGUCUCGUUCUGGACCUGUUCCCGCGUAUAUAGAAUAUAUUUUCUACUGGUUUCAUCAAACAAAGAAGUCAUAAACAUUAAAUAUUUAAAGUUUUGUCUCGUUCAUACUUUCUAGAAUCUGAAACUAUAUUGAAAUCAUCAUCGAAAUUCCGCAAGAAUAUUAAAGACACCCGUGUCAUUCAUCCCUACUAGAUGAUGAAUGCUAUUGCUAAUUUUUUUUCUCAAAGAUGCCUCAUUUUCAUGAAGAAGAAAGCUCAAUAGACCAAAAUUCCAUAUCAUUUCUUCUUUCUUAAGGAAAACUGACUGCAGGCAGCAAUCACAGAUGUGCAGCCUAUUUUCAGUUGACAAUAUACUGAAUAAUUUGGCAGUGAACAAGUACAGAAAACGCUGUUAAGAGGCGAUAGUUUUGAACCUGAGUUUAUAAAAGAAAAUGUACCAACUCGUGUUGAAAAUAUCUUAGGUAUCAAGUUCACCAGGUUUGAGAUGUUCACAGAAACAUGUUAGUUUCAGGCAGCUACAAUUCAGAAUUGUUUGCCACACUGUAACGUUUCAGGAAAUCAGAAACAUUUCCCAUGAUGUUAAUAUGUUGACUAGGGGCCGUUUGUAGCUACUUUAAUGAAAAUUGUAGUACCAAAGUGUCCUGCUGCAUAUAUUAAAUUGCAAAGGGAAAGUAAAAAAACUUAGGACUUGAUUGUCUAUCUGAUCCAUCAGUAAGCAAGCAAGGGCCAUGUUGUCAAGGAACAGAGUUCAAAAACCAUCAAUCUCAGGAACACUCUGACCAUGCAUUUGAUUCUGUUAAAGACCCAAUAUAUGAUAAGAUGCUAUUUUCAUUUGCUAGGCAACCAUGAGAACGUUUCUGUCCAAUUCAUAAUUUAAAUUAGUCCUGUGUGUUCUUUUAUCCAGUUAUUACAAAUUUACUCCUGUGUCUUCUUUUAUUUAGUUCUGUGAGGAAGAAGGGAUUACAUUGAUGUGUAAUAUGUUUUUUGUUCUACAACCAUACCUACAUGGGAUUAUAGUUCAGUUAGAAAUCUGAGAUUAUUUUCCUCUAGAAAUGAGCAUUAGCCCUCAGAACAGAAACGAACUGCACAACUAUGCUCCUACUUAAUUAUGUAUUAAUCAAUAUGUUCAUUAUUACAGUAAGUUUAGAAACUGCAUUUGUGUAUUUGUACCAAGCUUCCUUGCUCAUCUCAUUAUGUGCCUACCAUGUUGUAUGUCGGAAAGCAGUGGUUUUGAUAUAGAGCUAUAGUUCUUCUAUAUGUUUCUGCUGCUUAUAUAUUAUUGAUGUGUUUCCCUCACCUGCUAUUUGAAUGACAUAAUCCUUCAGAUCUUUCCCAAUUUUUGUGUUAAAGCUAACAAGACCCCCCCUUCCUGUAAAUACAACUUUGAACGAAGGGAAGCAAUAUAGGGCCGCCUUUAUAUCUUGGGUCACUCCAUAGCAGGGAGCAAGAGUGGGCACAUCCGAGUUUAGAUAUUCAGUCACUGUUUUCCAAUCCAUCUGAAGCUCCACGGGUCCUCUGAAAACUUUUGUCAGAGCAUGCAGCCAAACCAGGGCUAUCCAGGCUUCAGCUUCCUCCACACUAUCAUAAACUGGUAACUCACAGUAUGUCGACAGAUACACUUAGCCUCUAAUGACUAUUCCGAAGGGACGCUGCAUGUUCCUAGAUGCAUAGAUUUUCAUAUAUAGAUUUCAUUACACUGAGAUUUUUUUUAGGGAUAACAAUGGGAUUUAAGACAUAUUUUUUUCUGUAGAAUUCUCAAAUUGAAAUCUGAAUAAACCAUACCUUCAAAGGCCAACAUAGUGGCACUUAAAAUAAAUGCUAAUCUGCACUCGCGCUGCUAUCUGGUGCCCAUUCUUCUGGUGAUUUGGUCAAAGCUACAACCAAGCAAAGAAAUUUUACAUGCUAUAAGAACUAAGUUAUGGAUUUUGUGUUCCCAGGUCUAUAUUAUGCAUGCUUUGCCGGUUCCCUGCAAGCGCUUUCGGCCAUGACAUCAAGUUCAGCAGCUAGGCCGUGAAUGUUUUGAUCCUUCUCACUGUCCACCGAUGAUGGCCCGACAGAAAUCAGGGAAGGAGAAAAGGAUGUUGUUGUCAUGGUCGUCGGAAUGACUUGCCGUGGACGCAGUCACGCACUGGAUGACAUCGACGGCUAGCCAUGGAUGAGCACCUUGCCGCGUCCGCAAAAUGUGGAUGCACGGGAUUCUGCUACUAACAUUUCAGUGUGUUCUGUUGCGGUGCUGUGACAUAUACACCUUCAGUGUGUGUAUAAUGUUGUCAGAUACUACUUUAGAUAAAUAACCACUCUAUUCUAUUGUAUGUGUAAUUGAAAUGUUCAUAUGUGUUUAACCAUCUGGCAAAGAGGCUCACUGGAUGUUUCUUAUAAUAUUCUAUCUGUAAUAGACAUGUACGCAUGUAUUUAACCAUCUGGCAAAGAGGCUCAUUGGAUGUUUCAAAA